ensembl:rRNA 5S_rRNA 5S ribosomal RNA
GCCAGCAGCAUACCACCCUGCCAGCAGCAUACCACCCUGCAUCCCACUGCUGACUUGCCUCUGAAGCUAAGCAAGGUUGGUCCCUGGAUGGGAGACCAGAUGCUGCUGGAA